UACGGAGGGGGCUAGCGUUGUUCGGAAUUACUGGGCGUAAAGCGCACGUAGGCGGAUCGAUCAGUCAGGGGUGAAAUCCCAGGGCUCAACCCUGGAACUGCCUUUGAUACUGUCGAUCUGGAGUAUGGAAGAGGUGAGUGGAAUUCCGAGUGUAGAGGUGGAAUUCGUAGAUAUUCGGAGGAACACCAGUGGCGAAGGCGGCUCACUGGUCCAUUACUGACGCUGAGGUGCGAAAGCGUGGGGAGCAAACGGG
rnacentral:rRNA from 1 species